GUUUUCUCCAAGCAUAUGGAGGUGGAUAACAGAGAAAACGAGACAGGCGCAUGUUCCUCCAGGCUUUGAGCAGAAGUUUACUUGCUCUGCUCAUAGCUGAGAAUUUCUUCGUUUUCAUUCUCUUCUUCUAUUCCACUGGCUUCUGUGUUCCUUGUCGCAUCAUGCACGUUUUUGUUUCCAGUAACUACUGUCUUUAAUGAGCUAAGGAAAGCCUCUACUUCUCUAGAGUCUUGUUGGUCACCGAGCCAUUUACUUAUGCUUGACACCAGAUGGGGUUUUG
rnacentral:misc_RNA from 1 species